rnacentral:rRNA from 1 species
UACGAAGGAUCCAAGCGUUAUCCGGAUUUAUUGGGUUUAAAGGGUGCGUAGGCGGACUUAUAAGUCAGUGGUGAAAGCCUGCAGCUUAACUGCAGAAUUGCCAUUGAUACUGUUUGUCUUGAGUACAUUUGAGGUGGGCGGAAUGUGACAUGUAGUAGUGAAAUACUUAGAUAUGACACAGAACACCAAUUGCGAAGGCAGCUCACUAAACUGUAACUGACGCUGAGGCACGAAAGCAUGGGGAGCAAACAGG